GGGCGGUUAGCUCAGCUGGUAGAGUAUCGGUCUUACACACCGACUGUCAGGGGUUCGAGUCCCUUACCGCCCACCA
rnacentral:tRNA from 2 species